GUGGGGAAUAUUGGGCAAUGGGCGAAAGCCUGACGCAGCCAUGCCGCGUGAAUGAUGAAGGUCUUAGGAUUGUAAAAUUCUUUCACCGGGGACGAUAAUGACGGUACCCGGAGAAGAAGCUCCGGCUAACUUCGUGCCAGCAGCCGCGGUAAUACGAAGGGGGCUAGCGUUGCUCGGAAUUACUGGGCGUAAAGGGCGCGUAGGCGGACAGUUUAGUCAGAGGUGAAAGCCCAGGGCUCAACCUUGGAAUUGCCUUUGAUACUGGCUGUCUUGAGUACGGGAGAGGUGAGUGGAACUCCGAGUGUAGAGGUGAAAUUCGUAGAUAUUCGGAAGAACACCAGUGGCGAAGGCGACUCACUGGCCCGUUACUGACGCUGAGGCACGAAAGCGUGGGGAUCGAACAGGAUUAGAUACCCCGGUAGUCC
rnacentral:rRNA from 1 species